GACGAACGCUGGCGGCGUGCUUAACACAUGCAAGUCGAGCGGAGCUGCGAACGGGCGAGUAACGCGUGAGUAACUGCCCCCCUCUCUGGGAUAACAGUUGGAAACGGCUGCUAAUACCGGAUAGUGGGGGAUGACUCGCGUCCUAUCAGCUUGGUGGUGGGGUAGGGGCCUCCCAAGGCGACGACGGGUAGCCGGCCUGGGAGGGCGACCGGCCACAGUGGGCUGGGAUGCGGCCCAAACUCAUACGGGAGGCAGCGGGGGGGAAUAUUGCACGAUGGGGGAAGCCCGGAUGCAGCAACGCGCGUGCGGGAUGUCGGCCUUCGGGUUGUAAACCGCUUUCAGCCAAUACGCGGUAGUGGCAGAAGAAGCACCGGCUAACUACGUGCCAGCAGCCGCGGUAAUAC
rnacentral:rRNA from 1 species